GCCCGGGUAGGUCAGGGGUAGAGCUGUGGAUUGAAAAUCCGAGUGUCGGUGGUUCGAUUCCGCCCCCGGGCACCA
rnacentral:tRNA from 1 species